GACGAACGCUGGCGGCGUGCCUAAUACAUGCAAGUUGAGCGCUGAAGGUUGGUACUUGUACCGACUGGAUGAGCAGCGAACGGGUGAGUAACGCGUGGGGAAUCUGCCUUUGAGCGGGGGACAACAUUUGGAAACGAAUGCUAAUACCGCAUAAAAACUUUAAACACAAGUUUUAAGUUUGAAAGAUGCAAUUGCAUCACUCAAAGAUGAUCCCGCGUUGUAUUAGCUAGUUGGUGAGGUAAAGGCUCACCAAGGCGAUGAUACAUAGCCGACCUGAGAGGGUGAUCGGCCACAUUGGGACUGAGACACGGCCCAAACCCCUACGGGAGGCAGCAGUAGGGAAUCUUCGGCAAUGGACGAAAGUCUGACCGAGCAACGCCGCGUGAGUGAAGAAGGUUUUCGGAUUGUAAAACUCUGUUGGUAGAGAAGAACGUUGGUGAGAGUGGAAAGCUCAUCAAGUGACGGUAACUACCCAGAAAGGGACGGCUAACUACGUG
rnacentral:rRNA from 1 species